CCUACGGGAGGCUGCAGUGGGGGAUAUUGCACAAUGGGGGAAACCCUGAUGCAGCGACGCCGCGUGUGGGAAGACGGUCCUCUGGAUUGUAAACCACUGUCCCCAGGGACGAAGAUGACGGUACCUGGGGCGGAAGCUCCGGCUAACUACGUGCCAGCAGCCGCGGUAAUACGUAGGGAGCGAGCGUUGUCCGGAAUUACUGGGUGUAAAGGGAGCGUAGGCGGGACUGCAAGUUGGGUGUCAAAUCUACCGGCUCAACCGGUAGCCGCACUCAAAACUGCAGUUCUUGAGUGAAGUAGAGGCAGGCGGAAUUCCUAGUGUAGCGGUGAAAUGCGUAGAUAUUAGGAGGAACACCAGUGGCGAAGGCGGCCUGCUGGGCUUUUACUGACGCUGAGGCUCGAAAGUGUGGGGAGCAAACAGGAUUAGAUACCCCGGUAGUC
rnacentral:rRNA from 1 species